rnacentral:tRNA from 1 species
UCCCUGGUGGUCCAGUUGUUAAGAUUCUGCACUUACAAUGCGGGAGGUUUGGGUUUGAUUCCUGAUUGGGGAA